CCUGACCUGCGGACGUGAUGACCCCUGUGGUGAGCAUGGACGCCGUGCCACCGGGCGAGCGAGUGGCGUACCCGGCCUCGGUCAGG
rfam:Sphaerobacter thermophilus DSM 20745 chromosome 1, complete sequence.